rnacentral:rRNA from 1 species
UACGGGGGGGGCAAGCGUUGUUCGGAAUUCCUGGGCGUAAAGGGCUCGUAGGUGGCCAACUAAGUCAGACGUGAAAUCCCUCGGCUUAACCGGGGAACUGCGUCUGAUACUGGAUGGCUUGAGUUCGGGAGAGGGAUGCGGAAUUCCAGGUGUAGCGGUGAAAUGCGUAGAUAUCUGGAGGAACACCGGUGGCGAAGGCGGCAUCCUGGACCGAUACUGACGCUGAGGAGCGAAAGCCAGGGGAGCAAACGGG